GACGAACGCUGGCGGCGUGCUUAACACAUGCAAGUCGAACGGAAAGGCCCUGCUUUUGUGGGGUGCUCGAGUGGCGAACGGGUGAGUAACACGUGAGUAACCUUCCCUUGACUUUGGGAUAACUUCAGGAAACUGGGGCUACUACCGGAUAGGAGCUCCUGCUGCAUGGUGGGGUUUGGAAAGUUUCGGCGGUUGGGGAUGGACUCGCGGCUUAUCAGCUUGUUGGUGGGGUAGUGGCUUACCCAGGCUUUGACGGGUAGCCGGCCUGAGAGGGGGAACGGCGACAUUGGGACUGAGAGACGGCCCAGACGCGUACGGGAGGCAGCAGUGGGGAAUAUUGCACAAUGGGCGGAAGCCUGAUGAAGAAACGCCGCGUGCGGGAUGAAGGCCUUCGGGGGGGAAACCGCUUUCGCCUGUGACGAAGCGGGAGUGACGGUAAUGGGUAAAGAAGCACCGGCUAACUACGUG
rnacentral:rRNA from 1 species